UACGGAGGGUGCAAGCGUUGUUCGGAAUUAUUGGGCGUAAAGGGCGCGUAGGCGGUUGUGUAAGUCAGAUGUGAAAUACUUCGGCUUAACCGGAGAACUGCAUUUGAAACUGCACAGCUAGAGUACAGGAGAGGGAAACGGAAUUCCCGGUGUAGAGGUGAAAUUCGUAGAUAUCGGGAGGAACACCAGUGGCGAAGGCGGUUUCCUGGCCUGAUACUGACGCUGAGGCGCGAAAGCGUGGGGAGCAAACAGGAUUAGAUACCCUGGUAGUCCACGCUGUAAACGGUGAACACUAGGUGUGGGAGGUGUAAUACCUUCUGUGCCGAAGCAAACGCGUUAAGUGUUCCGCCUGGGAAGUACGGCCGCAAGGUUGAA
rnacentral:rRNA from 1 species